UACAGAGGUCCCAAGCGUUGUUCGGAUUCACUGGGCGUAAAGGGUGCGUAGGCGGUCGGGUAAGUCUGAUGUGAAAUCUCACAGCUUAACUGUGAAACUGCAUUGGAUACUAUCCGGCUCGAGGAAUGGAGGGGAGACUGGAAUACUUGGUGUAGCAGUGAAAUGCGUAGAUAUCAAGUGGAACACCAGUGGCGAAGGCGAGUCCCUGGACGAUACCUGACACUGAGGCACGAAAGCCGGGGGAGCAAACAGG
rnacentral:rRNA from 1 species